ACAAACGAUCGUAUGCAAGAUGGAGCACAGGGAAAUAUCUGCCCCAAGAGCGGGGAAAUUUAAUGUACACAUCGAGGGAGACUUGAAACACAAGCACUUUAUAAUACUUACAGUUCAUGAUUUAGGAUGCAACCAUACAAUGUGGAAGAGCUUUCUUCAGCACCCUUCUAUGGCGGAGAUCAACAAAAGGGCUGCCUACAUCCAUGUGGAUAUUCCCGGACAGGAGGAUAAUGCUCCAGAUCUGCCAGCAGACUAUAACUUCCCUAGUAUGCAGAGUCUGGGAGAGGAUCUAGUCUGUAUCCUAGACCAACUCGACAUUAAGCAAGUGGUCGGAAUAGGAGAAGGAGCAGGCGCAAAUAUUGUGGCCAGGUUUGCUAUGGCCCAGCCCACACGUGUUUUGGGAGUGUGUCUGAUUCAUUGUACCGGAACCACUGCCGGGAUCAUGGAGGGACUAAAGGACAAGCUGAUUGGUUGGAAGUUAGAGCACCUGGGAAUGAACCCCACUGCGGAGGCCUACCUGAUGAUGCACAGAUUCGGUUCAUUUGAGAAGGCUAAAGACCAAGAGGAGCUGAACAAGGCCAUUAAUUCAUUCCAGCAAUCACUCCGCAAAAACAUCAACGCCCAGAACCUAAAGCGAUUUGUCAAGUCUUUCAUGAAGAGAACUAACAUAGCAGAGCAAACUGGAAAAAUGAAGUGCCCUGUGCUUCUGGUGACAGGUGCUCUGGCCUCCUUUAAUCACACCGUUCAUACACUGGCCGGCUUCAUGCUGGCCAAGAUGGAGAAAAACAAAGUAGAGAUUAUAGAAGUGGAGGGAGUUGCAAAUGUCCUCGAGGAAAAUCCUGAUCGUCUAGCUGAAGCUUUCCUGUAUUUCUGUCAGGGACUUGGAGUCAGGCCGAGGCGGGUGAGCUUUCGGGCGACACUGGAGCCCCAUGUGGAGUGAUGGUUAGGGGGUCACUAUUUCUGUCUCUGGGUUGGUGGAGUGCCGAUGCCCCGAAUGACUAGAGCCAAUUCUGCAGAAAACCCAGAGAUCCUGACAAGGAGAACUCGCAGCUUGUCAAUGGAGGAAGCAGACAAGCCACUUGGCAUCUAUUCCUCUAGCCCGGGCCGCGUGGGUAGCCCCAUCAAGCCGGGUACCAGCCCAGGCAAAGGGACCCUGUCCACCAGCCCACCCAGUUAAAGCAGGCCUGGCACGAAACCUUGCAACCUCCUCGGCAGACAAAUCCUCUUUUAACAUUUUGGAUUUUUGUUGUUAGGUUUCUUUCUGAUUUCGUCUUUUUUAUCCAAUGUUAGGAAUAGCUGCAUUUUGUUUUCCUUAGUUUUACCAUGGGAACUAACAUGGUUGUCAAUUUAACUACUGCCAUGUUUAAUAACUCUAAUUCAUUAACUACAUAAUCCAAAGGGCAUUGGUCAAACAAAAUUAUAAUCUAAAAUAAAUUACCGGUAUAAGGGAAUUUUAACUAUUAAAUAAUAGGAUUGCAUAUCAUCUAAUAGUGGAGCAUGAGCUACUCUUAGAAAAAUUAUCUAUGUGUUUUCUGAAAUAAAACACAAAAUACUUGAGAUUGAAGUAUCCAUCCACUGCUUUGAUGAUGAAAUAACCCCCACUUUACCUAGUAUAGAUUAGAUAUACCAUGAAGUAUUAUCUUUUGAUUACCAAAGUGUCCAUUCUUAUCCUGUCCUUAACUCAAGCAUUUUUUCUUUGGCUAGUCAUACGUAUCGUAUCACUAUAACAAUGUAUGAGGCAUUUCAUUAGGCUUUUGUAGAAAGUUUAGAAUUAGUAGGUAACAUUAUUUUUUUUAAUGAUUUGUUUGUGUAUUCUCUGAUUACUAUGCAGAAUUUUUAUGUUGAUGUUCAAGUUUUUAUUUUUGUACUGAGAUCUGUUCAGCCAUAUGAUUGGUUUAACUGUCAAUGGUGAUUCUAACACCUGGCUGUGUAUAUUAUGUGUGCCAUGCCAAGUUAACAUGUACACUAACUCCAGCAAGCCGGCUUUGUCUAAUCAGUGCAGCCAGCAGUGUGUUGUGGGUGUAAAUGAGUACUCUCCCUCCCCUAAAUUGCUUGGCUGUUCCAUUAACUGCUGUUACACUGGGUAUCUGACCAUCUCCUGAUGGUCAAGGACAUUUGAAUAUAUAAUCAGGUCAUUAUCAAUAUUAUGGCAGGGUACCUUAUAGACUGCAUCUUAAGAUGGAGAAAAACAUUUCAUUGUAGACGGUUGUGGGACUCCUUUUUAUCCGGAACUAUUCUGUGCUUGUAGGUUUAAUUUCCCCCUUUACUCGUAGUCUCUCUAUAUAUGUGUACAAUUCUGGUCACUCAAAGUACUACUUAAAAAGUCGUUUUACCUAUGUAGAUGUGCAAUACUGUAGUGGCUUUUUGUGCAAAUGAUUACAAUAAAUAAACAAUACAUAUCCAAACAAUUGUUAAAAUCAAGGAAAAUGUUAUUAACAUUUAGAAUGUUUUCUACCAAAACUUGACUGUACCUUUGUAGUCAUUUUUCUGCAGAAUCUCCUUUGGUUAGACUAGAGUGUGUUUGUUUUGUGGGUGAUAAUUGAUCUAUAAUAUGUGUUUUAUUGACUUGCAAGUUUCAUUGACAGUUUAGUUUUGUAGAUGUUUAUUGAAUAAAGUUUGAAGCGAC
rnacentral:misc_RNA from 1 species